rnacentral:rRNA from 1 species
AUGGAGAACGAAGGCAUGGAGGCUCGGGGCGAUGGCGCCACGGAGUUCGCCAAGAUGACGCCAAUGUCAACAGCAUCAACCUGGUUCCGCAAGGAUCGUGGUGGGGAGCUCACAAGAAGGACGCCCGCCAUCCACUUCGUCAUGCUGGAGCUAAAGGACGGAGGCGUGGCGCCCAUUGAGGAUGCCGCCGACAUCUACUUCGUCAAGCUGGAGCCCAAAGGCGCGAAGCACGUAGGGAUGGUGCCGCGUGCCGCGGAGGAUGGCGAGAUGGAGCUCGCUAGGACGACGCCCGUCAUCUUCUUCAUCAAGCCGGCGGUAUAG